UGGUGUGCCGCCCCCGUGGCCGAGUGGUUAAGAUCGUGCACUCUGCUUCAGCGGCCUGGGGUGUUGCUGGUUUGGAUCCUGGGCACAGACAUGGCACCGCUCAUCAGGCCAUGCUGAGGUGGCGUCCCACAUAGCAGAACCAGAAGGACUCACAACUAGAUUAUACAACUAUGUGCUGGGGGGAUUUGGGGAGAAGAAAAAGAAAAAGAAAAAAGAUGGGCAGCAGGUGUUAGCUCAGGUGCCAAUCUUUAAAUAAAUAAAUAAAAAUGGUGGAGUGGGGUUGGGAGGAACAAACUGCUGGGAAAGAAAUGUGAAAUACUGUGAUGCGUAUAAUUGAUUCCUCACUGACUUCAGAGUGUUACUGUAGCAACGGAAAUGUGAUUUGUUUUGUUUUCUACCUGAGAUGUAAGAACAUUUUAUUUUAAAAAAAUAAGUUGAAAAGAGAUUAGACCUACUGCAUUACUGGUUAAAAAGUAUGAAAUCUUAGGUCAGGGAUGGGUUAUAGGAACAGACUUCAGUCAUGGAUUAUAAGAAUAGGGCCUCAGGCCUGGACGUACCAGGGAGGGUGCGGUGGCCGCACACCAAGAGGGUGUGAAAGAUUAGUUACUUUCAUGAUGAGGCAUUCAGGGAAGAACAGGAGAGCUUCCCAAGCGGGUUUGGAAAUGGCUGAGAGAGCAAGGAAAGGAGACCGGCUUGGGGUUUGUGUUGUGGCUGUGGGUGGGCCCAGGUAGGAGCUACUGUCCCCAGGAAGGGGCUGGCAUGGUUUGAAACUGCCGCCGUGCCAAAGCUGGGAGCAGCUGAGCUUUCCAGCUUGCCUGGAUGUGGGGCACCAGGGGAAGAGGGAGAGUAGAAGCCUCAGAUGUGUCAGCAAUCAAACAUCGAAACACAGAGUCAGGUUCCAUUACAGAGGAGAAACGUGGGAAACUUGGAGUGGCCUGGACCAGCUCAGUCUUCAGUACAUCGCUCCAGGUGUGUGCUGAGGUCUCCACUUCCAACUGGCACCUGGUGGGAAGACUUUCCAGAGUGGCUGGAAAAAGCCAGGGGACCCAAAACCCCACAAGCAGAAGCAAAGGGAGCUUUGCAGAGGGCCCAGGGGGACCCCUGGCCGAUGAGGUGGUGUCUGCAGCGCCCCAUGGGAAAGCGAAGUUCGGGAUGCUUGUCCUCUCCCUGGGAGCUGUCGUCUCUGGGAUGUCACAAUCCAUGUGAGCUUCUCCACCUGCGAUUUGGUGGGAAAGUCAGACUCACGGAGGGAGAUCCGUGACACUGCCACGUUCUCCAGUCUAGCUGGUUACCUCUCUACACAUAAUCCUAAAUAAUCUAUUCCUCCGCUGGAAUGCAAGAAGAACCAACCGAGAUGACUCUUUUGUCACGACACUGACCCUCAGAUGAUUAUUAUAACUGCCUCUGUAAGUGCUGUUAUCCGUUGCUCACGGCUGUUAUUGGGAUCAGUAGUACAACCACCACUAGCCCCUAACUCUCCCCUACCAGGCACAGUCCCUCAGGUAGCUCGUGCUCCAGAAGGCAGUCUCCACGUCCUCCCUCCGUGAGCAUCCAUCUCCACCGUCCACUCCCCUGUGAUGCUUCAGUGAGUUAAUUCCCAUGAGGCACAGAGCAGGGCGCCUGGGAUAGGAAAUCCCGCAGAACGUCCCCGCCUGCUGCCCUUGGUGGUGGUGGUGGUUGUUACCCUAGACCCAUGUGAUUCUAAACCUGCAGUUUGUGGAUGCCCCCCGUUCCCCACCAUCUCCACCAUUUCUUUCCGUUAACACAAAGCCCCACACUGUGAUUCCUCUCACAGCCACGUGGUGUCACCAGCACUUCACCGUCGUUCGUCUGAAAUGGCUGAUUAACCAUUACCAGAGGCCUUUCCUGGGGACUCUGAUGGGGACCACGUGGCUGCUCACGCAAAGGGCGAGGCCACACAGAGAGAUCCUUCCACAACUGCAGAAGCUUGCGACCUCUCCGGGAGCUAUUAUCCAGACCAUGCCAGAUUCCUAAGACUGAAAGAAAAAAAGGGAGGGAGAGAAGUUUCUGGAGAUGCAGACUGCUAUGAAAGCACUCUUGCCGAAAAAGAUAAGGGAAAUUUUAAAGACAGAGGCUAUAAAAUCUUCAUUGCAUCUGUCUGUGUGUUUAUGUGUGUCUAUGUACAUGUUAUAUAUGUGAUUUUUCUACCUCUGGAUGGUACAAUUUCUAAAGG
ensembl:lncRNA